rnacentral:rRNA from 1 species
GCUGAGCCUUAAACAUUGGUAGACCCACCUUACAACUCUACCCGCCAGAGAACUACUAGUGAAAAACUUAAAACUCAAAGGACUUGGCGGUGUCCCACCUCGACCUAGAGGAGCCUGUCCUAUAAUCGAUACUCCCCGUUCAACCCGACCUGAACUAGCACAUUCAGCCUAUAUACCGCCGUCGACAGUCUACCCCAUGAGGGUUCAAUAGUAGACACAACAGUUAUUAUCACUAAAACGUCAGGUCAAGGUGUAGCAAAUGUUUAGGAAAGUGAUUGGCUACAUUUUUUAAAAUAAAAUAAACGGAGUGCACCAUGAAAUCAUGCACGAAGGUGAAUUUAGCAGUAAGAUAAAUAAGAGUGUUUAUCUUAACAUCGCUCUGGGACGCGC